UGUGUUUUACCCCUUUGGCCCACAGAGCAAGAUAAAAGGUGAUAUUGUUGAAAAUGUUUUAUCUGCCUUCAAUGGGGUUGUCAUGGGCUGCAUUUGGAGACGGGCCUCUUUGGUUGGGCAUUUUCCUGGCAUCGUGGGGCUGCCUUUUGUGCUCCAUUGCCGGGGCCGGCCAGGAGGAGCAGAGGAAAGAAACCGAGAUUACGGAAGUGAUACACAGCCUGGGAGAAGAUGGUGAUUGGCACGAAGGACAGCCUCAACUCGCCCACAGCCCUACCCACCAGGGCCCCCCUGGGAAGACUUUGAUGGGCGUGUAUAUCUCCUACCUCCUGACACUGUUGUCCCACACAACUUUAGAGAGCUAAUGCUGCAGAUCUUAAGGUCAAAAGGGGAUAUUUCGUCGCAAAGAGCCCUAGAUUCGAAGACUUGAGUCUAUUAUCUGUGCCAUAUUUUCUUCUUUCAUGCUGCCUUUUCUGCUUUAGACAAAUAAGGCACGUGACUGGAUCAGAGCUUCUGAAAGCGUGGAACAUGGACACAUUUUAAUUUUCUAAUCACUAUGUGUUUAUUAGAAAUACAUGAACUGGAACAGACGAACAUAUUAGAAGAAUCUACCUCCAGCAAAUCAAAUCCACAAUUUCAUGAAUAAAUAUUAAUUUUAUAUAUAUAUAAAAUGUAUUUCAAUACAUUCAUGUAAAUUAAAAAAUGAGUCGAUUUCCAGCAAACUAUAAAUAAACAGCAGUGCAGGUGGCAUUCAGAUAUGGCAGGCUCUCUCAGGAUGCUACAGUGCCUGAGAGCUGGAAAAUACUGGACCAGACCAUCUCUAGAUUAUUUCCUGCUCUAAGGUUCUCUGAAGGGACUGGUAGAAUCAGUCACCUGGCUUCUUGCAGGCCUUUCCACCCAACUCUGACAGUGUUCAAAACAACCCCAAGUUUUUCACUGAAUGGUCCAUGUGAUCCAAACAUUUCUCUCCACACCGUAGCUGAAACGUGCCACACAGUGGGAGAUCCAUGACUGGGGCAAGAGGGAAUGAGUAUGGUCUAGGAAGCCUUUUCAAACCCUUUCAGAUCCUACAAGCAUUUACUGAGCACUUGCUAUAUGCCAGUUGACAUGCCAAGUCCUCACUCAUGAUCUGACUCUUUUAAUCCUGCUGCCACCCUGUGAAAUUUUACCUGCACCUGUGUCAUUAGUGGGGCCUUUGGCAAGUCACUUAGUUACUAGGACCCAUUUUAUCUUCAGUAAAAUGGAGAUAAUGAAAUCUGUCCUGUGCAUCUCAUUGGAUUAGCAUCAGGAUCAAAAGAGAUUGUGUAUGGGAAGUGUCUUGGAAAAUACAAAGUCCUGUCCAAAGAGAAGAAAAAAAAAGAACAUCAGAAAACCUCUUUCCUCUCCCUUUGCUUCUCUUUUUUUUUUUUUUUUUUUUUUGCAGGACGUGGGCCUCUCACUGUUGCGGCCUCUCCCGUUGCGGAGCACAGGCUCCGGAGGCGCAGGCUCAGCAGCCAUGGCUCACGGGCCCAGCCGUUCUGCGGCAUGUGGGAUCUUCCCGGACCGGGGCACGAACCCGUGUCCCCUGCAUAGGCAGGCGGACUCUCAACCACUGCGCCACCAGGGAAGCCCGCUUCUCUCUCUUUAACAAAAUUCACUCUGUGCCAUUAGAUUAUCUGUGAGGACCUAUGACGUCAUUUAAGUUGUCAGAGGUCUUGUUUCUCCAGCCCCUUUCAGAUUUAAUCAGUGGCUCCUAUGACCAAUCAGUGGGUGUUUUAAGUUCUAAGCCCUAAAUUCUGCUAAACUCCAGUGUGAAUUCCACUCUGUAACUUAUGAACACUGCCCCUCUGGGACUCUCCUCCUAAGGGUAAAUCGGGGGGUAGUGACAGUUGUUGCCCAGCGGUCUGUUGGGAAGAUGCGACGGGCUGAAAUGAAAGCAGUGGGCAGUGUUUGGCUCGUAGCAUGUGAUAAAUGUGUGCUGUCAUUGUUACCAUCUACUCUGUGAGGUCUGAUUGUUAUUAUUCCCAUUUAAGAGACGAAGAAACUGAAGCUCCGAGAGGUGGAGCUGCGUGUUCAAGGCUGCACAACGAGGAAGCAGCAGGGCAGAGAUUUGAACCCACUUGUGAUUCAGGUCGUGCUUGUUUGCGGGGUGUCGUGAGGCUUCUCCAUGGGAAGGGAGAAGGUGUUCUCAUGAGAGAGAGGAAGAGAGAAAGAGAGAGAGGGAGGUGCUCUUGGUCUGGUUCACAUACAAUUCUCUUUCUUUUAUAUGGUGCUUCCUGAUUUCAAUAGCCUUUUCAUUCAUCUUCUCAUAAAACGUGGCUGAUGUGAUCACUGCCAAGCCUGGAUUACACUUGAGGCUCCUAUCUCUAGAGGCUCAAUUCUGCCUAAAAUGCCUUCAGUUUCAUAAUCCGCAGACUGAAAAUCAGGAGGAACCAUCACUCUACCCAUCAUUUAUGCACCCCCGACAGCAGAUGUUACAGAAUACCUGAAAUGAGCCUGUCCGAGAAAACUUAUUUUAUUUGGUUUCUACACAGAAGUAUUUCACCUGCUUGUAAAUCAUACCUUCCCCUCUCCAGUCCCCCAUGAGUUCUAAGCUAACCGUCUGUGCUGGUCUGUGAUCCCCACUGCCUUUAAGAGUGUCAGGGUUGACUGGGGCCCAGGUCACUGCUGCUGGGCACGGCUGAGAGCUGGCCUGGAGAGGACAGUCAGUGAGACAUGUGAGCCUGGGCUCCCUUCUUGGAGACAUGCGUUUGAAUCCUGUAUCACUGCUCACCAGCUGAUUAGCUGCACUCAGCUUUUCUCAGCCGAAGUUUCUUUAUCCGUGAAAUCGUCUUCAUCUCGGAAGGUUUUGGUGAAGAUGAAAUGAGAUAAUCCGUGUAAAACAUAUACUCACUUAGCUAACAGUAAGUGCUCAGUAAGUACUAAAAGUUAUCCCUCGAGCUUCCCCUCAAGUGGAGAGAUUGAACUCCUUUGCUGAUACCCAGCGAAAUCCAGUCCAGUCAUGUCUGUGGCUGUUUCCUGGACAAUUGGAAUUUUCCUGACCAGCACAUGAGUCCCUACGGUGGCCGCAACCUGCAAACGGGCCUCUGCAUAGAUCCCUGUAGAAUUUUCCCUGACAGUUACUACCUCAUUUUCUUGUUUUCAAGAAAAACUGUUGAACCAUCAGUGACAACUUGAAGUGAGCAAAAACACAACGUUCCCAUUUCCUGGAUCACUUCCAACCUUGUGUCUGUUGGAUGUGGUUGUCUGGCAUUCAAAACUCGGUUGCCCUGGAGCCUGGAAUCUUUGGCGGAAGGAGACUUUGGGGAAUGAGCUGGUGCCACAGCGCCCUCUGGUGUCCAAGUGGCUUCUGCCAGGACGUGCAAGGGGCUGCAUGAAGGCAGCAAAGGAGGGUUUGAGAACAUCUGCCCAACUUCUCUGCCUCCCCAAGGAGGAGGGGCCAGGCAGUGUGAGAGGUCUCAUGUCUGCCUCAUAUGGAACAGUGGGGAAGUGGGGAUGAGAUUGACCUUCCAUGAGCCAAUAAAUUAGCAUCCACAACCCAAAUGGUGAAUGCUGACUUGGCGUAACUGCUCUGGAGAAGGGCCCAGGGAACCCCCAGUUUCUCAUAGCUCUUUCUUUGCUAAAGCAAAACCCGAUUCUGCUUUCCAGAGAAGGCUUGAAUUCCAGGUUCUCUGCUCUGCCCUGAGCCUGCCAGGGACUGGGAAAGAAGGGAUGCCAUGGGUCCAGAGAAGGGUCCCUUUGAGACAAGAGAAGGGGGACUGGUAUACAUUUCCAGGCUCCCCUGCACCCAUUCCUGCUCUUUGAUCUCUUGAUGCUAGGGUUCACCCUGCGUCAGACUGGGCAGCUUCAGCUGUUUGACUCUGCUGCUGACCCCAGUCAUUGGGGCUCCGCUUUUAGUCCAAGGGCCAGAGUCCAGCAUCCAGCCCUGGACAUCAGUUGGACUUCCAUUCCUGAGUUUGCUAGUCAGGUCUCAUCACAGAUGUCUGCAAGGAAGUAGCAUUGCAUGACCACCCAGCCCGAUCCAGGACAGAAUGAGGGUCGAAGGUUCAAAAGUAAAUGAGAUGGGACCUCCAGCCUCAGCCACUCCCAUAGAGCCAAACCCACACUGUGCCCGGGCAGAUCUUGCCAUCAAGAUGUGGACAGUUAACACUUAGAAUAUUUCAUUGAGUGCUCUGAUAAUUUACCUGCUGUUUCUUUGGGUUUAACGUACAAGAAAGACCCCUGAACCUGAAUAGCAUCUCUAGAGUAUUAUACAUGUUUUCAGGCAAUGUUUCUCAAACUGUAGUCUCCUAACAAUAUUAGCAUCAGCUGGGAGCUUUCUGGGACUUUCUAGGGAUGCAAGUUCUUGCCCCCUGCCCCCACCCAAAUGAAUCAGGAAUUCUGGGGAUGGAGCCCAGCAAUCCCUGUUUCAUCAAGCCUCCCAGGUGGGCCUGAUGCAUCUGGAGUCGGAGAACCAUUAUUUUAAGGGAAAAUGGAGAGAGGACCCAUUAUGAGCCAUGUCUCUUGCUUGACACUUUUUUGUAUACAUUUAUGUUUGUCUAGUCAUUUUGGGUAGUUUGUUUGGAAUAGUCUGAGAUGAUGCUGAGCCUGGAAGUGGAAGGUUUAUCAAAUAGCUUUAGUGCUCCAGGAUUAAAAGCCACCAUGUUGUUUGAAAUGAGUUUCUAGGACUUGC